CAAGAUGGACUUUUUAUACAACCCCAUAAACAAAAAGUUUUGGUCCUAAACUUACCAUUGUUCCUAAUUAAGAUUAUACAUGCAAGCCUCCACACACCAGUGAGAAUGCCCACAACCCCUAAACAGCAAACCGGAGCAGGUAUCAGGAACAACCCAUUAAGCCUACAACACCUUGCCCUGCCACACCCCCACGGGCCCACAGCAGUAAUUAAUAUUAAACCAUAAGCGAAAGCUUGAUUUGACUAUAAUUAAAAUAAUUGGUAAAUUUCGUGCCAGCCACCGCGGUUAUACGAAAAAUUAAAAACAAUGCCAUCGGCGUAAAGAGUGAUUAGAGAACAUCCAACAAUUAAAGGCAAACCUAGACGAGCCGUAAAACGCCAACAUAUAUAGGAGAGCCCUCCCCUUAACUAAAAGAUUUCUUCACCUCACUAAAGCUAAGAAACAAACUAGGAUUAGAUACCCUACUAUGCUUAGCCGUAAACAUAGACAGCACCCACACAACCUGUCCGCCAGAGAACUACAAGUGAAAAGCUAGAAACUCCAAGGACUUGGCGGUGUCCCAUACCACCCUAGAGGAGCCUGUCCUAUAAUCGACACCCCACGAUAAACCUUACCGCCCCUCGCCAAUCAGCCUAUAUACCGCCGUCGUCAGCCAACCUUAUGAAAGAAAAGUAGUCGGCAAAGCAGUUAAUAACAAACACGUCAGGUCAAGGUGUAGCACACGGGACGGCAGAGAUGGGCUACAUUUUCUACACAGAACACACGAACGACAUAAUGAAACCAGUGUCUAAAGGCGGAUUUAGCAGUAAGACAUAAUAGCAUCACUUUCUUAAACAUGCUCUGGGACGCGCACACACCGCCCGUCACCCUCAUCAAACAAACGGUAUAAAAACAUAUAACAA
rnacentral:ncRNA from 1 species